rnacentral:rRNA from 1 species
AUGAACGCUAGCGACAGGCUUAACACAUGCAAGUCGAGGGGCAGCACAGGUAGCAAUACCGGGUGGCGACCGGCGCACGGGUGAGUAACGCGUAUGCAACUUACCUAUCAGAGGGGGAUAACCCGGCGAAAGUCGGACUAAUACCGCAUGAAGCAGGGGCCCCGCAUGGGGAUAUUUGCUAAAGAUUCAUCGCUGAUAGAUAGGCAUGCGUUCCAUUAGGCAGUUGGCGGGGUAACGGCCCACCAAACCGACGAUGGAUAGGGGUUCUGAGAGGAAGGUCCCCCACAUUGGUACUGAGACACGGACCAAACUCCUACGGGAGGCAGCAGUGAGGAAUAUUGGUCAAUGGCCGAGAGGCUGAACCAGCCAAGUCGCGUGAGGGAUGAAGGUUCUAUGGAUCGUAAACCUCUUUUAUAAGGGAAUAAAGUGCGGGACGUGUCCCGUUUUGUAUGUACCUUAUGAAUAAGGAUCGGCUAACUCCGUGCCAGCAGCCGCGGUAAUACGGAGGAUCCGAGCGUUAUCCGGAUUUAUUGGGUUUAAAGGGUGCGUAGGCGGCCUUUUAAGUCAGCGGUGAAAGUCUGUGGCUCAACCAUAGAAUUGCCGUUGAAACUGGGGGGCUUGAGUAUGUUUGAGGCAGGCGGAAUGCGUGGUGUAGCGGUGAAAUGCAUAGAUAUCACGCAGAACCCCGAUUGCGAAGGCAGCCUGCCAAGCCAUUACUGACGCUGAUGCACGAAAGCGUGGGGAUCAAACAGGAUUAGAUACCCUGGUAGUCCACGCAGUAAACGAUGAUCACAAGCUGUUUGCGAUACACUGUAAGCGGCACAGCGAAAGUGUUAAGUGAUCCACCUGGGGAGUACGCCGGCAACGGGGAAACUCAAAGGAAUUGACGGGGGCCCGCACAGGCAGAGGAACAUGUGGUUUAAAUCGAUGAUACGCGAGGAAGCUUACCCGGGUUUGAACGCAUUCGGACCGAGGUGGAAACACCUUUUCUAGCAAUAGCCGUUUGCGAGGUGCUGCAUGGUUGUCGUCAGCUCGUGCCGUGAGGUGUCGGCUUAAGUGCCAUAACGAGCGCAACCCUUGCCACUAGUUACUAACAGGUAAAGCUGAGGACUCUGGUGGGACUGCCAGCGUAAGCUGCGAGGAAGGCGGGGAUGACGUCAAAUCAGCACGGCCCUUACAUCCGGGGCGACACACGUGUUACAAUGGCGUGGACAAAGGGAAGCCACCUGGCGACAGGGAGCGAAUCCCCAAACCACGUCUCAGUUCGGAUCGGAGUCUGCAACCCGACUCCGUGAAGCUGGAUUCGCUAGUAAUCGCGCAUCAGCCAUGGCGCGGUGAAUACGUUCCCGGGCCUUGUACACACCGCCCGUCAAGCCAUGGGAGCCGGGGGUACCUGAAGUCCGUAACCGCGAGGAUCGGCCUAGGGUAAAACUGGUGACUGGGGCU